GAUGAACGCUGGCGGCGUGCCUAAUACAUGCAAUUCGAGCGAACAGACGAGGAGCUUGCUCCUUUGACGUUAGCGGCGGACGGGUGAGUAACCCGUAGGUAACCUCCCUUUAAGACUGGGAUAACUUCGGGAAACCGGAGCUAAUACCGGAUAAUAUUUCGAACCGCAUGGUUCGUUAGUGAAAGAGGGCUUUGCUUUCCCUUAUAGAUGGACCUCCGCCGUAUUAGCUAGUUGGUAAGGUAACGGCUUACCAAGGCAACGAUACGUAGCCGACCUGAGAGGGUGAUCGGCCACACUGGAACUGAGACACGGUCCAGACCCCUACGGGAGGCAGCAGUAGGGAAUCUUCCGCAAUGGGCGAAAGCCUGACGGAGCAACGCCGCGUGAGUGAUGAAGGUCUUCGGAUCGUAAAACUCUGUUAUUAGGGAAGAACAAACGUGUAAGUAACUGUGCACGUCUUGACGGUACCUAAUCAGAAAGCCACGGCUAACUACGUG
rnacentral:rRNA from 1 species